UUCCUGUUGCAGGGAAAGGUAAAAGCGGAAAAGGGAAAGGAAAGAAAAAAGACAAGAAUGAGACAACCCCGUACACUACGUAGAACCUGACAAGGCUCGUGGCAUGCAGUACACCACUGGGGACCUGGAGAGGAAUAAUACUGUUCAGCUAGUGACUCACAUUGAUAUUGCAAUAAAAAUGCAGCCAUUGUCGUUCUUCAA